rnacentral:tRNA from 1 species
GCCUGGGUGGCUCAGUCAGUUGAGCGGCCGACUUCAGCUCGGGUCAUGAUCUCACAGAUUGUGGGUUCGAGCCCUGCCUCAGGCU